rnacentral:lncRNA from 1 species
GUACUCUACACAUGUAUGCGCUUCUGUAGAUUUUAUUUAACUCUUUCUUGCUUAUUUUGAUAUGGCCAUUGUUGCAAUCAGAAUUCAAAGUUUCGGAAACAAUACCAAAAACUUAGCUCCAUAUUAUUUAUUUGUUCCUCUGUGAGCUUUUUAAUAAUUUUUUUUUCACUAUCCUUUCCUUCUCUAUCUUUCUCCUUUCUCUCUCUCUCUCUCUCUCUCUCUCUCUCUCUCUCUCUCUCUCUCUCUGGCUCUCUGUUUAUCUAUAUCUCCUUCUCUCUCUCUGUCUCUUUCUUUCUUCCUUCCUUUUUCUCUGUGAACUAUGACCUAUUUAUGUUCCGCUAACAAAAAGCCAAAAUGAACAAUUUCAAAAAAACUUAAAAGAACUAAAAGUGAAAUAUAGCAGGUAAAAAAAAAAGAAAAUAAACACAAACAAAAAAAAUGAACCCUUCAAAGAAAUCAAGAUUUAAAAAAAUAAGAAAAAAAUAGAAAAAAAUGUAAAAUAACCAAUAUGAAGACUAUUUGGAAAUGGUCUUCAGCUAUUUUAUUGUCUUUUUUAUUAUUAUCCUAAUUAUUAACUAUUAAUUAUUAUUAUUAUUAUUAUUAUUAUUAUUAUUAUUAUUAUUAUUAUUAUUGUUAUUACAGGCAGGUCCGCUAAUCAAUCACCACAACCAAAAGACAUUGUAAUUAUUAUCAUCGUUUACCGUUAUUAUUUUCAUGCUUUUUUCCAACACUUUCAUGCAAGUUUCUUACUGCACUACAAAGUGCACUUGCAAUGUGUUUGUGUUCUGUGAGUGUGUGUGUAUGUGCAUGUGCGUGCACAUGUGUGCAUGUGUAAGUGUGUACAGCAUUGUCUUUCAGGAAUGUAGAACCGUGUGUUGUUUGUAUGCUAACAUCAGUUUAUUAUUAUUAUUAUUAUUAUUAUUAUUAUUAUUAUUAUUAUUAUUAUUUAUUAGUAUUAUCGUUGCUUUUAUUAUUAUUAUUAUCAUUAUUAUUAUUAUUAUUAUUAUUAUUAUUAUUAUUAUUAUUGAUAGUGUUAUCAUAACUGCAUUUUGCUGCAUGGUUGACAGUGCAUCAUGGAAGAUGCACCCUGGUUUUAGGAGUGUAAAAAAAAUUGUUUAUAGUUACCAAUACUCCAUCCACAAGAAUUGGCAAUGUCCAGUGAGCACAUGCUAAAUGCCCGUUAUUAGGCAAAGCACAUGGCCAAAACUACAGCAGUGCUCAUUUUCACUGUCAUUGGGUGAAAUCACAAGCAUUUCUGUGGUAUUGAGUAGAAUAUUUGCUGUAGCCCAUCUUUUGUACCAAGACUACUGGAGUGCUAAUUUUUACUGACAUUGGGUGAAAUCACCAGACAGCGGCCACCAGCCUGGUGGUUUUCUGCCGGGUAUUAGGGUAGUAUGUAACACUAUGCUCUCCACUUUAACUGCCCUGUGAUUAUUACAGUAGCCACCAGCCUGGUGGUUUUCUGCCGGGUAUUAGGGUAGUAUGUAACACUAUGCUCUCCACUUUAACUGCCCUGUGAUUAUUACAGUAGCCACCAGCCUGGUGGUUUUCUGCCGGGUAUUAGGGUAGUAUGUAACACUAUGCUCUCCACUUUAACUGCCCUGUGAUUAUUACAUGUGACAUGCCAUAGUGAUCGUACUACACCCAUCACUGCUGACCACCUAUCAACUACAGGUGCCCAACUACAACUGCUGCCAGUCAAUCCUUAGGUAUCCCAACAUGCACUAGGCAAUGCUUGUUUCUGUGGAUUGACCUUAAUCAACGCCACUUGUGUAUCGGUCAUUAUAGCAUCAAUUUUUAAUUAAGAGUCUGUAAGUGGAAAUUUUUUAAUGUAACACUCUUUUCUACAUUUCUAACAAGCUGUGGUGCUUGUAUUCUUUGUCAUUUGAUUUUUAUCCAUAUGACGAAGAUGAAGACUAUUUUUCAUUUGGAAAAGGUAAGCAUAUUGUUAUGUCGCAAUACUACACAGUGACUGUGUGAGCUACGAAAUCCUUGUCGCUGCUGUUAUGUCGCACGCUCGGAUGACUUCUACUCAACACUGCUCUGCUCUAAUCUACUUCUCUCAACGUCUAGGCCUCUCCCUCUAUAUCUCCAUAUUGGGCCAGCCUACUUCAUCAUCUGGGGGUGUCCACACAACACAUAUAUACAUCAGCAUCUAUAUUUAUUUUGAAAAAAGGAUAGAGCAAAAUUUACAAAUCACUUUGGUAUUAAUCAGAUUAAUUAGAAUUUCAGAAUAUAAAAUACUUACAAUUGCUAAGUAAUUAAAUAACAGCCUCUGUAUGGGACUGCUUUCUGUUAAGCCUCAGAAAACCACAGCACAACUUCUCAACUAGUAUCCUGGCAGUCGCAUGGUAAUUUUCAUGGUAUUUUUUUCUUAUAAGGUGUGUCUUCCAUGUUUGCAAAAUACAUUAUUAUCGCUAUCAAAAGGGGAAAACUGGCAGAAUCAUUAGAGAAUCAGAUUGCCUUGUGGUAUUUAUUAUAGCUCUUUAUUUUCAGAGUUGAAAUCCCUCCAAGGUUAACUUUACCUUUCCUCCCUCUGGGGUGGAUAAAAUAAAGUACCAGUCAAAAGCUGGGGUCGAUGGUAUUGACUAGACACUAAACCCUCAUCCUUUAAAAUUUACUGGCCUUGUCCCUCAAUCUGAAACCAAAUUUUAUCACCAUUAUCAUUAUUAUUGUUUUUCUUCUUUUUCUCGUUAUUAUUGCUACCAAAGGCAACAAGCUGGCAGAAUUGUAAGUGCAUGGGGCAAAAUGCUUAGCACCAUUUUGUCUGACUUUUUACAUUCUCAGUUCAAAUGCCACCAAAGUCAACUUUGCUUUUCAACCUUUCAGGGUUGAUAAAACAAGUACCAGUUGAACACUGGGCUCAGUAUAAUUGACAAACCCCUCUCCUGCUAAAUUUCAGGCUUUGUGCCUAGAUUAAAAAGAUUAUUAUUAUGAUUAUUAUUAUUAUUAUUAUUAUUGAGUGAGGGAGCAGUGCAUGCCUUCAAAGUGAUACUGGGGUAAAAUAUACGAAGCCCAGUAUACCCAUCAUGACUACCCAUCUGAUAAGGGCACACCAGGCACAUACAUCACAACCAUAUGUGUGCAACAUGGUGAUCUCAUAUUAAGAUAAACAGCACAUGACCUUGCAGGUGGGGCCCAGUUAGAAUUUUCUUCUGGUCGAGAAGCCCAUCCCGCUCAUAAGGUCCCUGAAUAAGGAUUAAGGAUGUUGAACAAACCAUCCAUGUUUCCAAAGGUGAAUUAUCCAAACCUCUAAGAAUUCCUUCCAACACACAGCUAUGAUGCUCCCCCACUACUAUUAUUAUUGUUAUUGUUAUUAUUAUUAUUAUUAUUAUUAUUAUCAUCAUCAUCAUUGUGAGCUGGCAGAAUCGUUAGCAAGCCGGG